CACUUCAGCCUUCAGGGGUAGCAACAGUUAAUAUCCUCCCCGCUCCACGCCUACAAUCCAGGAGCUGUGCCAAGCAAAGGGCUCUACACGUACUUACCAGGUCCUCACUUGCCCUCAAGUGUACCUUCUUCAUCAGGGAGCGAGUCAGGUGGUUGCACAAGGAGACGAUGCUGAAGGACAGCUAAGGGAAGAGAAAAGAGAACCACUAGCUGAAACCGGAGAUCUGGAGAGAAGCAGAGAGGUCCACUAGGCCCCCUGCCCUUCCCAGGCCCUGACGCACCUUCCACCGCCUGCGGACGUAUUGCUUCUUAAAGUUCUCCAGGUUGACCACGGACUCUCUGCGCACCAUCGCUUGCUGGUUGUCCACCGGCUGAAAGAUAAGACAACCUGAUGGUGUCAACUGGGCUUCAAACAGCAGCUCCCCACCUCCGCACAGAAUCCUGGACCACACAUUGUCCUCAGCCUGCAGCUGACCUCCUUCUCCAGGAAGGAUGAGCAGUGUCAAAUUGCAGACACCAUCAGCACCUCAUCAGCAUCUCAUCACUGUGGGCCUCCAGUGAGGCAUCUCAUCACCAUGGGCCUCCAAUGCUGCAUCUCAUCACCGUGGGCCUCCAGUGUGGCAUCUCAUCAACGUGGGCCUCCAGUGAGGCAUCUCAUCACCGUGGGCCUCCAGUGAGGCAUCUCAUCACCGUGGGCCUCCAGUGAGGCAUCUCAUCACCGUGGGCCUCCAGUGAAGCAUCUCAUCACCGUGGGCCUCCAGUGAGGUAUCUCAUCACUGUGGGCCUCCAGUGAGGCAUCUUAUCACUGUGGGCCUCCAGUGAGGCAGGCCAUCUAGAGAAAAGACUGCAGAGUUUCAGUGAGUCAGGUGGGGUCACCCAGCCUUCGACUGUGGGGCACAGCAGUCCACGCCUGAAGUUCUUCUGGCUUACACCAAUGUGGUCCAAACCCAAAGAGUAAUGUUGCAAAGGUAGCCAGGCCUCCUGCUCCAAGUUUUUCCAUCUCUUCCUAGGGUCAAAGUUGAGCCAGGUGUGUUUACCACUCUCUUCUGCAUGGUGGUGCUGUGCCCUGUUUGCUCUCUCCCUGUGCAUCUCCUAGAGGACUGCCCAUGACAGGAAUUUUUUCUUUCUUAAUUGUCCAUAAAAUAAUCAUGCAUCUUAAAAUUAUGGUUUCUUGUGUUUGACUAAAAUGGUUUCUAUUGUGGUUAUUAUAUGUGAUACUUUAAAUGAUUCAGCUUACUAAUUAAAAAAAAAGACAACGGGA